rnacentral:rRNA from 1 species
UACGUAGGGGGGCAAGCGUUGUCCGGAAUCAUUGGGCGUAAAGAGCGUGUAGGCGGUCCGGUAAGUCGGCUGUGAAAGUCCAGGGCUCAACCCUGGGAUGCCGGUCGAUACUGCCGGACUAGAGUUCGGAAGAGGCGAGUGGAAUUCCCGGUGUAGCGGUGAAAUGCGCAGAUAUCGGGAGGAACACCUAUGGCGAAGGCAGCUCGCUGGGACGUUACUGACGCUGGAGACGCGAAAGCGUGGGAGCAAACAGG